GAUGAACGCUGGCGGCGUGCCUAAUACAUGCAAGUCGAGCGGACGGACGAGAAGCUUGCUGCUCUGAUGUUAGCGGCGGGCGGGUGAGUAACACGUGGAUAACCUACCUAUAAGACUGGGAUAACUUCGGGAAACCGUAGCUAAUACCGGAUAAUAUUUUGAACCGCAUGGUUCAAAAGUGAAAGACGGUCUUGCUGUCACUUAUAGAUGGAUCCGCGCUGCAUUAGCUAGUUGGUAAGGUAACGGCUUACCAAGGCAACGAUGCAUAGCCGACCUGAGAGGGUGAUCGGCCACAUUGGAACUGAGACACGGACAAGACGCCUAAGGGAGGGCGCAGUAGGGAAUCUUCCGCAAUGGGCGAAAGCCUGACGGAGUAAGGCCGAGUGAGUGAUGAAGGUCUUCGGAUCGUAAAACUCUGUUAUUAGGGAAGAACAUAUGUGUAAGUAACUGUGCACAUCUUGACGGUACCUAAUCAGAAAGCCACGGCUAACUACGUG
rnacentral:rRNA from 1 species